UUUCAUUGUCGAGACAAAUCAAGGAUCAAAUCAGUAAGGUAAAUGGGUUUACUUCCAAUCAGAAUAAGAUUCCAGAACCAUUGUUCAACACAAUUGCUGUCUGCUUCAUACCACUGCACUCCAAAUUCAAGACAUUUUUCACAGAUUUUGAGCAACAAUAAGAAUUUGAGCAAGUGUUUACCCUUUACACUUAGGACCAGUAGUUAGAGCACUUGCCACUGAAUCAGCAUCACCACCAGCAGCAAAGAUGGUCAAAGCCAUUCGAGUCCAUGAGCUUGGUGGACCUGAGGUCUUGAAAUGGGAAGAUGUAGAAGUAGGAGAGCCAAUGGAGGGAGAGGUUCGUGUGAAGAACAAGGCCAUUGGGCUUAAUUUCGUUGA